rnacentral:rRNA from 1 species
AUUGAACGCUGGCGGUAGGAUUAACACAUGCAAGUCGAGCGGAGAUGAGGUGCUUGCACCUUAUCUUAGCGGCGGACGGGUGAGUAAUGCUUAGGAAUCUGCCUAUUAGUGGGGGACAACAUUCCGAAAGGAAUGCUAAUACCGCAUACGUCCUACGGGAGAAAGCAGGGGAUCUUCGGACCUUGCGCUAAUAGAUGAGCCUAAGUAGGAUUAGCUAGUUGGUGGGGUAAAGGACUACCAAGGCGACGAUCUGUAGCGGGUCUGAGAGGAUGAUCCGCCACACUGGGACUAGGAUGCGGCCGAGACUCCUACGGGGGGCAGCAGUGGGGAAUAUUGGACAAUGGGGGGAACCCUGAUCCAGCCAUGCCGCGUGUGUGAAGAAGGCCUUAUGGUUGUAGAGCACUUUAAGCGAGGAGGAGGCUACUGAGACUAAUACUCUUAGAUAGUGGACGUUACUCGCAGAAUAAGCACCGGCUAACUCUGUGCCAGCCGCCGCGGUAACAC